rnacentral:lncRNA from 1 species
GUGGGUCCAGAGAUGGUUAAAGUCCUGAAAGCGCAGGUCUGUGUAGGUCCAGAGAUGGUUAAAGUCCUGAAAGCGCAGGUCUGUGUAGGUCCAGAGAUGAAGCGCAGGUCUGUGUGGGUCCAGAGAUGGUUAAAGUCCCGAAAGCGCAGGUUUGUGUGGGUCGAGAGAUGGUUAAAGUCCCGAAAGCGCAGGUCUGUGUAGGUCCAGAGAUGGUUAAAGUCCUGAAAGCGCAGGUCUGUGUAGGUCCAGAGAUGGGUUAAAGUCCUGAAAGCGCAGGUCUGUGUAGGUCCAGAGAUGAAGCGCAGGUCUGUGUGGGUCCAGAGAUGGUUAAAGUCCCGAAAGCGCAGGUUUGUGUGGGUCGAGAGAUGGUUAAAGUCCCGAAAGCGCAGGUCUGUGUAGGUCCAGAGAUGGUUAAAGUCCCAUAAGCGCAGGUCUGUGUAGGUCCAGAGAUGGGUUAAAGUCCUGAAAGCGCAGGUCUGUGUAGGUCCAGAGAUGGGUUAAAGUCCUGAAAGCGCAGGUCUGUAUAGGUCCAGAGAUGGUUAAAGUCCCGAAAGCAGGCAGGGGAGGUUCAUUCACGUCUCAUUCAAGAGCUUCGACUGUUUGGAAGAGGAAUUCCCAAGUUACGUUCGUCUGGACCGAAGCCAGUUCGAUCACCUGCUCCAGAUGGUUGGAGCCAGGAUCGCCCGGAUGGAUACCAACUACCGGGAGUCCAUCAGCCCAGUCGAACGCCUGGCGGUUUGUCUCCGGUAAAAUACAUUUUUAAAGCCUUUGAUACCAUAAUUUAUAUUUAAUAUAUUGUUGUUUUAAUGUGCAUCCUAGCUAGCUAAAGAGUUCUUUAGUUAAUUGUCCCUAUUUGACAUCAGAUGUACUUUUACAGAAUGUUCAUUAGGACUAUAACUUUUUCCCAAAGUUGGUUUAUAAUCCUUUUUUUAAUUAUGCAAUGUUACCCAAAUGAAAAGAAAGUUGGGGUGCCUUCUGCUCUGAUGAAGGUAGGCUAGUCUUCACCAGGACCCCUUGUUGUUCAACACAGUUACAGGCCUUCUGCCCCUGAUGAAGGUAGGCUAGUCUUCACCAGGACCCCUUGUUGUUGAAGACAGUUACAGGCCUUCUGCCCCUGAUGAAGGUAGGCUAGUCUUCACCAGGACCCCUUGUUGUUCAACACAGUUACAGGCCUUCUGCCCCUGAUGAAGGUAGGCUAGUCUUCACCAGGACCCCUUGUUGUUGAAGACAGUUACAGGCCUUCUGCCCCUGAUGAAGGUAGGCUAGUCUUCACCAGGACCCCUUGUUGUUGAAGACAGUUACAGUCAUUCAUUACGUUCUCAUUGGACUCACAUACACUCUUAAGAGAAAAAGGUUCCGUGUCCUUCUGCUUUCCCCAUAGGAGAACCAUUUUUGGUUCCAG